rnacentral:lncRNA from 1 species
AUUUAUCCUCAUUUUCCCUUUGGUAUCAAAGCUGAUUAAAUCAAUUACACACUAGUGAACUUUAUUGUGAAUUUGAUUAAUUGUAUGUGGUCAACAUGUUAAUCUGUAUUUUUUUGGUUAAUCUAUUUUUCAGGUGAUGUUGGUGGCUUUCGGGAAUUUAAUAUCAGUGUUUUUUUAUGGAUUAAUUGUUUUUCUAGUGAUAGGCUGAUGAUUGGAUAUUGCAAAGGAUUUGUGAGAUAUGUUACACGAUGUAUUUUGAUGAUGCUAUUUGUUGGAAGUUUCAAGUGAUUGAAAAUUUU